rnacentral:rRNA from 1 species
UACCAGCACCCCGAGUGGUCGGGACGUUUAUUGGGCGUAAAGCGCCCGCAGGCGGCUUGCCAAGUUCGAUGUGAAAUCUCCCGGCUCAACUGGGAGGGUGCAUCGAAAACUGGCAGGCUUGAGGCAGGGAGAGGGAUGUGGAAUUCCAGGUGUAGUGGUGAAAUGCGUAGAUAUCGGGAGGAACACCAGUGGCGAAGGCGACUUCCUGGCCUGUUCUUGACGCUGAGGCGCGAAAGCUAGGGUAGCAAACGGG